UACGGAGGGUGCAAGCGUUGUUCGGAAUCAUUGGGCGUAAAGCGCGUGUAGGCGGCUUGGCAAGUCAGUUGUGAAAGCCCGGGGCCCAACCCCGGAAUUGCAUCUGAAACUGCCUGGCUGGAGUCCCGGAGAGGAAGGCAGAAUUCCCGGUGUAGGGGUGAAAUCCGUAGAUAUCGGGAGGAACGCCGGUGGCGAAAGCGAUUCUCUGGUCCUUUCCUGACACUGAGGCGCGAAAGCUAGGGGAGCAAACAGG
rnacentral:rRNA from 1 species